rnacentral:rRNA from 1 species
UGAGGAAUAUUGGACAAUGGAGGCAACUCUGAUCCAGCCAUGCCGCGUGAAGGACUAAGGCCCUAUGGGCUGUAAACUUCUUUAGACGCAGAGCAAUAAGGGCCACGUGUGGUCCGAUGAGAGUAUGCGUAGAAUAAGCAUCGGCUAACUCCGUGCCAGCAGCCGCGGUAAUACGGGGGAUGCGAGCGUUAUCCGGAUUCAUUGGGUUUAAAGGGUGCGUAGGCGGCUUUGCAAGUCAGCGGUGAAAGGCCCGGGCUCAACCCGGAAAGUGCCGUUGAUACUGUGAGGCUGGAAUGCGGAUGCUGUGGGAGGAAUGAGUGGUGUAGCGGUGAAAUGCAUAGAUAUCACGAAGAACUCCGAUUGCGAAGGCAGCUGACGGUAGCGCAACUGACGCUGA